rnacentral:rRNA from 1 species
UACGGAGGAUCCAAGCGUUAUCCGGAUUUAUUGGGUUUAAAGGGUGCGUAGGCGGCUUAUUAAGUCAGGGGUGAAAGACGGUGGCUCAACCAUCGCAGUGCCUUUGAUACUGAUGAGCUUGAAUAUACUAGAGGUAGGCGGAAUGUGACAAGUAGCGGUGAAAUGCAUAGAUAUGUCACAGAACACCGAUUGCGAAGGCAGCUUACUAUGGUAUUAUUGACGCUGAGGCACGAAAGCGUGGGGAUCAAACAGGAUUAGA